rnacentral:rRNA from 1 species
CAGCAGCCGCGGUAAUACCGGCGGCCCGAGUGGCGGCCACUAUUAUUGGGCCUAAAGCGUCCGUAGCCGGGCUGGUAAGUCCUCCGGGAAAUCUGGUCGCUUAACGAUCAGACUUCCGGAGGAUACUGCUGGCCUAGGGACCGGGAGAGGCCGAGGGUAUUCCCGGGGUAGGGGUGAAAUUCUGUAAUCCCGGGAGGACCACCUGUGGCGAAGGCGCUCGGCUGGAACGGGUCCGACGGUGAGGGACGAAGGCCAGGGGAGCGAACCGGAUUAGAUACCCGGGUAGUCCUGGCUGUAAACGAUGCGGACUAGGUGUCGGGCAAGCUAAGGGCUUGUCCGGUGCCGCAGGGAAGCCGUUAAGUCCGCCGCCUGGGGAGUACGGCCGCAAGGCUGAAACUUAAAGGAAUUGGCGGG